CAGCAGACACAUUCCAGCCAAUCAGUAGCAACCCUCCCUCCCAGACCCUCCCACCUCCUGGACAGCAUCCAUUGUGAAGCUGCAUUCUUAGUGAGCUGUCCAGGAGGUGGGAGGGUCUGGGAGGGAGGGUCUGCUGCUGAUUGGCUGGAAUGUGUCUGCUG
rnacentral:miRNA from 1 species